UACGGGGGGGGCAAGCGUUGUUCGGAAUUACUGGGCGUAAAGGGCUCGUAGGCGGCCAACUAAGUCGGACGUGAAAUCCCCAGGCUCAACCUGGGAACUGCGUCCGAUACUGGAUGGCUUGAAUCCGGGAGAGGGAUGCAGAAUUCCAGGUGUAGCGGUGAAAUGCGUAGAUAUCUGGAGGAAUACCGGUGGCGAAGGCGGCAUCCUGGACCGGCAUUGACGCUGAGGAGCGAAAGCCAGGGGAGCAAAGCGGGG
rnacentral:rRNA from 1 species